rfam:Gorilla gorilla gorilla genomic chromosome, chr13, whole genome shotgun sequence
GGAUGUGAGGGCGAUCUGGCUGCGACAUCUGUCACCCCAUUGGUCGCCAGGGUUGAUUCGGCUGAUCUGGCUGGCUAGGCGGGUGUCCCCUUCCUCCCUCACCGCUCCAUGUGCGUCCCUCCCGAAGCUGCGCGCUCGGUCGAAGAGGACGACCACCCCCGAUAGAGGAGGACCAGUCUUCGGUCAAGGGUAUAAGAGUAGCUGCGCUCCCCUGCUAGAACCUCCAAACAAGCUCUCAAGGAAUAGGUAAAAUUCAAAAUGCACAAAAGAAUAAAGAAAAAACUAAGACUCUAGUCAUGUCCGAAGCACCGAGGCCUCUCUCCUGGAGACAGCCACUGUU